rnacentral:rRNA from 1 species
AACGAACGCUGGCGGCAGGCCUAACACAUGCAAGUCGAACGCCCCGCAAGGGGAGUGGCAGACGGGUGAGUAACACGUGGGAACCUUCCCUAUAGUACGGAAUAGCCCAGGGAAACUUGGAGUAAUACCGUAUACGCCCGAAAGGGGAAAGAAUUUCGCUAUAGGAUGGGCCCGCGUAGGAUUAGCUAGUUGGUGAGGUAAUGGCUCACCAAGGCGACGAUCCUUAGCUGGUUUGAGAGAACGACCAGCCACACUGGGACUGAGACACGGCCCAGACUCCUACGGGAGGCAGCAGUGGGGAAUAUUGGACAAUGGGCGCAAGCCUGAUCCAGCCAUGCCGCGUGAGUGAUGAAGGCCUUAGGGUUGUAAAGCUCUUUUGGCGGGGACGAUAAUGACGGUACCCGCAGAAUAAGUCCCGGCUAACUUCGUGCCAGCAGCCGCGGUAAGGCACGACUGU